UACGUAGGGUGCAAGCGUUGCUCGGAAUUACUGGGCGUAAAGCGUGCGCAGGCGGUUGUGCAAGACAGAUGUGAAAUCCCCGGGCUCAACCUGGGAAUUGCAUUUGUGACUGUACGGCUAGAGUGUGUCAGAGGGGGGUAGAAUUCCACGUGUAGCAGUGAAAUGCGUAGAGAUGUGGAGGAAUACCGAUGGCGAAGGCAGCCCCCUGGGAUAACACUGACGCUCAUGCACGAAAGCGUGGGGAGCAAACAGG
rnacentral:rRNA from 1 species